AGAGUUUGAUUCUGGCUCAGGACGAACGCUGGCGGCGUGCUUAACACAUGCAAGUCGAACGAUGAAGCGGUGCUUGCACCGUGGAUUAGUGGCGAACGGGUGAGUAAUACGUGAGUGACCUACCUUUGACUCUGGGAUAAGCCUGGGAAACUGGGUCUAAUACCGGAUACGACCAAUCUCUGCAUGGGGUGUUGGUGGAAAGCGUUAUGGAGUGGUUUUAGAUGGGCUCACGGCCUAUCAGCUUGUUGGUGAGGUAAUGGCUUACCAAGGCGACGACGGGUAGCCGGCCUGAGAGGGUGACCGGCCACACUGGGACUGAGACACGGCCCAGACUCCUACGGGAGGCAGCAGUGGGGAAUAUUGCACAAUGGGCGCAAGCCUGAUGCAGCGACGCCGCGUGAGGGAUGGAGGCCUUCGGGUUGUGAACCUCUUUCGCCAGUGAAGCAGGCCUGCCUCGUUUGUGGGUGGGUUGACGGUAGCUGGAUAAGAAGCGCCGGCUAACUACGUGCCAGCAGCCGCGGUAAUACGUAGGGCGCGAGCGUUGUCCGGAAUUAUUGGGCGUAAAGAGCUUGUAGGCGGUUGGUCGCGUCUGCUGUGAAAGGCCGGGGCUUAACUCCGGUUUUGCAGUGGGUACGGGCUAACUAGAGUGCAGUAGGGGAGACUGGAAUUCCUGGUGUAGCGGUGGAAUGCGCAGAUAUCAGGAGGAACACCGAUGGCGAAGGCAGGUCUCUGGGCAGUAACUGACGCUGAGGAGCGAAAGCAUGGGGAGCGAACAGGAUUAGAUACCCUGGUAGUCCAUGCUGUAAACGGUGGGCGUUAGGUGUGGGGACUGGUUUUGGUUUCUGUGCCGUAGCUAACGCAUUAAGCGCCCCGCCUGGGGAGUACGGCCGCAAGGCUAAAACUCAAAGGAAUUGACGGGGGCCCGCACAAGCGGCGGAGCAUGCGGAUUAAUUCGAUGCAACGCGAAGAACCUUA
rnacentral:rRNA from 1 species